GACGAACGCUGGCGGCGUGCCUAAUACAUGCAAGUAGAACGAAGAUGCGAACGGGUGAGUAACGCGUAGGUAACUGCCUCAUAGCGGGGGAUAACUAUUGGAAACGAUAGCUAAUAGCGCAUAAUGUGAGAUGGACCUGCGUUGUAUUAGCUAGUUGGUGAGGAACAGGCUCACCAAGGCGACGAUACAUAGCCGCCCUGAGCGGGUGAUCGGCCCCACUGGGACUGAGACACGGCCCAGCCUCCUACGGGAGGCCGCAGUAGUGAAUCUUCGGCAAUGGACGGAAGUCUGACCGAGCAACGCCGCGUGAGUGAAGAAGGUUUUCGGAUCGUAAAGCUCUGUUGUUAGAGAAGCGUCAACUAACCAGAAAGGGACGGCUAACUACUGGCCAGCAGCCGCGUAAUUC
rnacentral:rRNA from 1 species